UACGGAGGGAGCUAGCGUUGUUCGGAAUUACUGGGCGUAAAGCGCACGUAGGCGGCUGUGUAAGUUAGAGGUGAAAGCCCGGAGCUCAACUCCGGAAUUGCCUUUAAGACUGCAUCGCUUGAAUCCGGGAGAGGUGAGUGGAAUUCCGAGUGUAGAGGUGAAAUUCGUAGAUAUUCGGAAGAACACCAGUGGCGAAGGCGGCUCACUGGACCGGUAUUGACGCUGAGGUGCGAAAGCGUGGGGAGCAAACAGG
rnacentral:rRNA from 1 species